UCAGAUGGUUGGAUGACUGCUGGCGUCUAGUCUUACGGGGCGAGGGGCUGGAGGAAAGUCCGGGCUCCACGGAAACACGGUGCCGGGUAACGCCCGGCGGGGGCGACCCCAGGGAAAGUGCAACAGAAAGUAAACCGCCACCGCGCGUCGGGUUUCGGCUUGGGCGUCCGGGGGUAAGGGUGAAAGGGUGCGGUAAGAGCGCACCGCGGCCCCAGCGAUGGGGCUGGCAUUGUAAACCCCACCGGGAGCAAGACCGAAUAGGGACGGCCGGUCAUAUCCUUCGGGAUGAUGACGGGUGGGUUUUCGUGCCGUCGUCCGGGUAGGUCGCGCGAGGCGGCUGGUAACAGUCGUCCCAGAGGAAUGGUCAUCCAUCCCGCAGGUCUUCGGACUCUAGGGGGGACAAAACCCGGCUUACAGACCAUCUGACCCG
rnacentral:RNase_P_RNA from 1 species